ensembl:lncRNA MALAT1 metastasis associated lung adenocarcinoma transcript 1
AGGCAUUGAGGCAGCCAGCGCAGGGGCUUCUGCUGAGGGGGCAGGCGGAGCUUGAGGAAACCGCAGAUAAGUUUUUUUCUCUUUGAAAGAUAGAGAUUAAUACAACUACUUAAAAAAUAUAGUCAAUAGGUUACUAAGAUAUUGCUUAGCGUUAAGUUUUUAACGUAAUUUUAAUAGCUUAAGAUUUUAAGAGAAAAUAUGAAGACUUAGAAGAGUAGCAUGAGGAAGGAAAAGAUAAAAGGUUUCUAAAACAUGACGGAGGUUGAGAUGAAGCUUCUUCAUGGAGUAAAAAAUGUAUUUAAAAGAAAAUUGAGAGAAAGGACUACAGAGCCCCGAAUUAAUACCAAUAGAAGGGCAAUGCUUUUAGAUUAAAAUGAAGGUGACUUAAACAGCUUAAAGUUUAGUUUAAAAGUUGUAGGUGAUUAAAAUAAUUUGAAGGCGAUCUUUUAAAAAGAGAUUAAACCGAAGGUGAUUAAAAGACCUUGAAAUCCAUGACGCAGGGAGAAUUGCGUCAUUUAAAGCCUAGUUAACGCAUUUACUAAACGCAGACGAAAAUGGAAAGAUUAAUUGGGAGUGGUAGGAUGAAACAAUUUGGAGAAGAUAGAAGUUUGAAGUGGAAAACUGGAAGACAGAAGUACGGGAAGGCGAAGAAAAGAAUAGAGAAGAUAGGGAAAUUAGAAGAUAAAAACAUACUUUUAGAAGAAAAAAGAUAAAUUUAAACCUGAAAAGUAGGAAGCAGAAGAAAAAAGACAAGCUAGGAAACAAAAAGCUAAGGGCAAAAUGUACAAACUUAGAAGAAAAUUGGAAGAUAGAAACAAGAUAGAAAAUGAAAAUAUUGUCAAGAGUUUCAGAUAGAAAAUGAAAAACAAGCUAAGACAAGUAUUGGAGAAGUAUAGAAGAUAGAAAAAUAUAAAGCCAAAAAUUGGAUAAAAUAGCACUGAAAAAAUGAGGAAAUUAUUGGUAACCAAUUUAUUUUAAAAGCCCAUCAAUUUAAUUUCUGGUGGUGCAGAAGUUAGAAGGUAAAGCUUGAGAAGAUGAGGGUGUUUACGUAGACCAGAACCAAUUUAGAAGAAUACUUGAAGCUAGAAGGGGAAGUUGGUUAAAAAUCACAUCAAAAAGCUACUAAAAGGACUGGUGUAAUUUAAAAAAAACUAAGGCAGAAGGCUUUUGGAAGAGUUAGAAGAAUUUGGAAGGCCUUAAAUAUAGUAGCUUAGUUUGAAAAAUGUGAAGGACUUUCGUAACGGAAGUAAUUCAAGAUCAAGAGUAAUUACCAACUUAAUGUUUUUGCAUUGGACUUUGAGUUAAGAUUAUUUUUUAAAUCCUGAGGACUAGCAUUAAUUGACAGCUGACCCAGGUGCUACACAGAAGUGGAUUCAGUGAAUCUAGGAAGACAGCAGCAGACAGGAUUCCAGGAACCAGUGUUUGAUGAAGCUAGGACUGAGGAGCAAGCGAGCAAGCAGCAGUUCGUGGUGAAGAUAGGAAAAGAGUCCAGGAGCCAGUGCGAUUUGGUGAAGGAAGCUAGGAAGAAGGAAGGAGCGCUAACGAUUUGGUGGUGAAGCUAGGAAAAAGGAUUCCAGGAAGGAGCGAGUGCAAUUUGGUGAUGAAGGUAGCAGGCGGCUUGGCUUGGCAACCACACGGAGGAGGCGAGCAGGCGUUGUGCGUAGAGGAUCCUAGACCAGCAUGCCAGUGUGCCAAGGCCACAGGGAAAGCGAGUGGUUGGUAAAAAUCCGUGAGGUCGGCAAUAUGUUGUUUUUCUGGAACUUACUUAUGAUGCAACCUUAAAAUCAGUGACAAGAAACAUUCCAAACAAGCAACAGUCUUCAAGAAAUUAAACUGGUAAUAGCCUGCAGCUGGUGUUUUGAGAAGCCCUACUGCUGAAAACUUAACAAUUUUGUGUAAUAAAAAUGGAGAAGCUCUAAA